rnacentral:rRNA from 1 species
AGAGUUUGAUUAUGGCUCAGAACGAACGCUGGCGGCGUGGCUAAGGCAUGCAAGUCGAACGGACAUGGGCAUUGGGUAACCGAAGCCCAUGUUAGUGGCGAACGGGUGAGGAAUGCAUGGAUAACGUACCCAGGACUCGGGGAUAGCGGCGGGCUUCGGCCCUUUGCGAAAGUGCCGGUAAUACCCGAUGACCCCGUAGACCUCCUGGUCAGCGGGCAAAGUUCAGGCGGUCCUGGAGCGGUCCAUGCCCUAUCAGCUUGUUGGUGGGGUAAUGGCCUACCAAGGCGACGACGGGUAUCGGGUGUGAGAGCAUGAGCCCGACACAUCGGAACUGAGACACUGUCCGGACACUACGGGUGGCUGCAGCAACGAAUAUUGCGCAAUGGACGAAGCGUGACGGAGCAAUGCCGCGUGCAGGAUGAAGCCCCUCGGGGUGUAAAGCUGCUGUCAGGGUUUAGCAACACAAUGAGCAGACCCAAAGGAAGGGCCGGCUAACUUCGUGCCAGCAUGCCGCGGUUAAUACGAGGGGCCCGAGCGUUAUUCGGAAUCACUGGGCUUAAUGGCGUACGUAGGCGGACCUGUAGGCACUGUGUGAUGAUCCCUCGGCUCAACCGAGGAACUGCAUGGUGAACCACAGGUCUUGAGGCAAGUAGGGGCUGUCGGAACGUAGGUGGAGUGGUGAAAUGCGUAGAGAUCCGGGGAACACAGUGGCGAGGCGCACGUGGGCCUGACCUGACGCUGAGGUGCGAAAGAUGGGGAGCGAACGGGAUUGGGGCCCGGUAGUCAUGCGUAAACGUGCUGCU